UCGACCCUCUCUUUCUCUAUGGGGCGUGUGCUGGAUCUGAGAGGUUGGAGCUCUGGAGCAAUACCCUUAUUCCGCUGUUGCCUUAGGUCUUUACACGGGGAACAGGGCGGACCUAGUUCGAAAAGUGCAUAAACCUCGGACGGUGGCGCAGACUUGAACUCAGCAACCGCUAGAGAAGGAAAGAUGCUGUGAUGAGAACCAGGCAAUGCCAGCCAAUUGGUCCGAUUUCACAGUCUGCGCACACCAGAAACUUGAUGUUGCCCACGUCCUUGGUGAAGCCCACGUUCUCAAAGAUGAACAUGUCAUCAACCAGCCAGUGCUCCUGGAGAAGCUCGCCGUCAGGAUUGCUGCCAUCAGCCAGAGCUGGUUUCUUUCUCAUGGAGGGAAGGAAAAGCUGCAGUGGAAAAGAACACAAAGAAUGCAAGAGCUGACUGGCCAGUCACGUCAUCACCCCCAUUCCACUCACACAUUACACUGCUCCCUAGCACUUUCUCGGAAUGAAAACAAAAUGAGGAGCCUGAUCAUUGAUGGAUGAGGAUGCUGGGCGGCUCCUCCGUUGCCUCUAGUCCGUGCCCUGAUUCUUACGAGACGUUAAAGAGGUAACAUGCUGUUUCCAACUGGCUUCACUGCUAUCUUUACCAUGGUCCAUAAGGCCCUGCCUGUUCCUAAUCUCCCUCCAGCCACACUGGCCUUGCCUUCUUCAAACAGGGUAAGUGUGCUCUGCCCUCAGAUCCUGGCAAGGCCGGUUCCUUCAUGAUAUUCAGCUCAAAUGUAACCUCUUCAGGAGGUCUUCUCUAACCAACCAAUCUGAAUUAGCUUCCCAUACUGCCCACUAUGUUUUAUUUUAUACUUUUUAAAGUUUACUCAACUA